UUUCUUUUAGUGUAAAGCACAGGAAAAUUUGAGUUUCCUAGAAAAUUUUUUUUAAAGAAAA
rnacentral:tRNA from 1 species